rnacentral:rRNA from 1 species
AUGGCGACGGCGGCAGCCCGCGCUCGCAUCCGUUGGUCAGCAGAGGAGACCAGCAGGCGGCCACGGCGCCCCGCGCUCACUUCCGUGGGCCAGCAGAGCGUAGGAGAGGCAAGUGGCGACGGCGGUCUGUGCUCGCGUCAUUGGGGCAGUAGAGGAGCGGAUGGCGGCGACUGGGUCCCGUGUUUGCGUCUGUGGGGUAGCAGAAGAGGAGCGGACAAGGGACAACGGCAGCGUCGAUCCGCGCUCACGCCCAUAGGCAGCAGACAACAGAAGAGGAGCGGCGGGCGGUGGCGGCGAUCUGCGCACGCGUCUAAAAAGAACCAGUCCACGACACUUGGAGACCUAUCUCGUGCGUACGCGAUGCCGCCGGCGCGGCGAGCCCGCCUCUCGUCCCCUCCUAACUCCUCCGUCGCAGCGGCGGAUCCAAGCAGCAGAGGUGCCCGGCGCGAGCCCUCCAAGCGACCUAGGCGGGCCGACUCCUCCUCCCAUGGCGGCGCCGAGGACGGCACGCCACUCACUGACGAGAUCCUCGUCGGCAUCUUCGCCGGCCUCCCCGAGAUCGCCGACCUUGUGCGCUGCGCUGCCACCUGCAGUCGCUGGUGCCGCCUCGUCUCCAGCGAGGCCGCAUUCAUCUGCCGCACCACGCCGCGGCCGUGGCCCGGGAGGUUCGUCCGCCGCCUCGCCCUCGGAUUUUUCCACCAGGACGCCGCAGAGCUGCGGUUCGCGCCAACGGCUUCCGCCGCUCGGCUUGUCGGCCUCCUGCGAACCCCCUCGCUGAAGGCGCUUGUGGAACAGCCGGAGAACGGGCUGUUCCACAGCCCCCGCCUCGUCGCUUCCCGCAACGGCCUCAUCGUUGCCGACCUCCGCCGCGGGAGACGCGAGCGGGCCAUCAAGCUCUGCGUCUGCAACCCCAUGACCGGCGAGGUGAACAUCCUCCCGCCCCUCAGCGGCGAGGACGGCAUCGGGCGCUACGCCUGUACGGUGCUCACCGCCGACGACCACGACCAAACCAGCGAGAGCGACCCGCCGCCGCCUGCCUCCUACCGCGUGAUCCUCUUCUACAACACGUGCCGCAGCAACACCGCAUUCAGGAGCUACUCGUCGGAGGACGGCGUGUGGAGCCCGGAGGCCAUAAGGAGCGAGAGGCUGGGGAAGAAGCAGAUGGGGAUGGGGGUGACGCGCACCGCCGUGGUGGUUGAAGGCGGCAAGGUGGCGUGCUGGUUUGCCAAGAACGCGGUGCUCGCGCUUUCGCUUGACACGUUGCAUGCACAGGUGCUGAGCCGCGCCUUCGUCGACGGCAACACCAUACUGGGCGUGUCGCCGGAGUGGAAACUGUGUACUAUCCAGAUGAUAUUCCGGGAAGCCAUGGCGGAUUGGCAGAGGUAUGUGGCGCUACGGGUCUCCAAGUUGAACCGCAGCAUUUAUCAACGGCAGGAGGAGGAUGAGGUUGAGUUGAUUCAGGUGGAGCAGCACCUUCCGGCCGAUGUGACCAAGGUGAAGCUGCGGUGGUUCUGCGAGAAGAGCGGCGUCGUCCUGUUUACGGCCGGGUACAGAGACGGGAGGAGCGAGGUCUACGCGCUGAGCCUCGAUAAGCAGGAGGUGCAGAAGGUCGCGAGCCACGGCGCCGGCGGUGGCGGCGGUGAUCCGUGGGAAAACUUGCACGGGUACGAGAUGGACCGGGCGGCGUACCUCGCCACACUCGGCGUCGGAUACCGUAUGCGAAAGUCGUUCAUUAGUCUAAGCAUCGAACAUGAUAUACAUGGCCUUUACAUCCUCUCCAAUGUUGCAAAAACAUGGAUCUUGAAUAGGCAACCGAACCACCUAAAGAGGAACCCGCUCCCCGCUCCUGCUAGGGUUCCCUGCCGCCGCCGGCGGGCCCUAGGCCUUCCCGCCGCCGCCGUCCACCCGGCGCGGCGCCCCGCUCCCCCGCCCCUGCUCCCGCCGCCGCCACUCGCCCGGCCAGCGGCGCUCGCCGUGGUGGUGCCGCCUAUUGGCGGCGGGGCGGUCCGGUGGUGCUGGUCGACCGGUGGCGUGUCCCCGGCCCAGAUCUGGGCCCGUAGGGUCCCUUCUGGGUCCCUGCGGGUCGGCUCCGGCGCGACCCCGACGCCUUCUGUAUGGGGAGGCAGGGGAGCGGCUUGGACUGGGACAGCGACGCCAACGGCGUCCUAG